AGGCACUCAACAAGAUUGUGCAGCCAACUCCCACAACUACAGAGACAGCUUUUCAUUUAAACAUCACACUUCUGUAAUAAACACUUACAAAGACAAACUAGAGCAAUGCCUAUGUAAGAACAAGGACUCUCAAGAUCCUGCUACACAGUAUUCACAAUCAAAAGGGCCCAAGAUUCAGGACCACCUAAAGACAACUGACAAAAAGUGUCAGAGCCAGAGGCCAACCUCUGCUAGAUGAAGCAGCAGCACAUGACUCCAUUUCUAUCUGAUAAGGAGACAGAGAAGAGGCAUCUCGAACAGAUGAAAAACCAAAGGCUGGUGUCCUAAAAAAAACAGAUUGGCUUCAAAGAAAACACUAAGGAAGACCCACAGAGCUGUAUUAAUUUUAGUAAAAAUAAUCAUAUGCCAACAGGGGAAUUG
rnacentral:lncRNA from 1 species